GUGAAGAUACUACAAGGGUUGUGGGCUUUAUUUAGGCUAAAGUUAUAAUAGUUCGAGUCUAUUUCUUUGCU
rnacentral:tRNA from 1 species